rnacentral:rRNA from 1 species
CCUACGGGUGGCUGCAGUGAGGAAUAUUGGUCAAUGGGCGCAAGCCUGAACCAGCCAAGUCGCGUGAGGGAAGACGGUCCUAUGGAUUGUCAACCUCUUUUGUCGGGGAGCAAAGCGCGGUACGAGUACCGCGAAGGAGAGUACCCGAAGAAAAAGCAUCGGCUAACUCCGGGCCAGCAGCCGCGGUAAAACGGAGGAUGCGAGCGUUCUCCGGAUUUUUGGGGUUGAAAGGGUGGGUAGGCGGAUUUGUAAGUCAGCGGUAAAAAUGCGGUGCUCAACGCCGUAUCGCCGUUGAAACUGCAGGUCUUGAGUGAGCGAGAAGUAUGCGGAAUGCGUGGUGUAGCGGUGAAAUGCAUAGAUAUCACGCAGAACUCCGAUUGCGAAGGCAGCAUACCGGCGCUCAACUGACGCUGAGGCACGAAAGCGUGGGGAUCGAACAGGAUUAGAUACCCUUGUAGUC